rnacentral:tRNA from 1 species
GCCGAAGUGGCGGAAUUGGCAGACGCGCUGGUCUCAAACACCAGUGGCCGUAAGGCCAUGUGGGUUCGACUCCCACCUUCGGCACCA